AUUUUGGCGCUUAUUUUUAAUGAAAAAAAAAGGAAUUAAAAUUCCCCCUCAAAUCUUCACACGACCCAAAUCUCGGCACGCGAAGGUUUUAUCUUGCGUACUCCUAGGGCAAUCGAAGGUUAUGCUCUCCCGAUUUUUUAUCCUAAUUUGGAUUUUGUGGAUUUUUGUAAUCUUAAGUUGAAUUUUGUGGCAAGCGAAGGUUUUCUCCUCUCUCGAUUUCUUCUUCACACUUUCUUUUGUAUUAUCUUGACUUCCUUAGUUUCAUCUUUUCAGUUUUCUGAAAAGUUUUAGGGUUCUUGAUUUUGUUGAUGUUGGGGAUCUCGACCGAUUGUUUCAAUCUGAGGCAAGGUGGCACGGAGGCGCUUGGCUAAAGGCAAGGUGGUGCGGAGGUGCUCGACUAUUUCAAUCUAGCAUUGAGACGGAGAAAUUGCAAAAUUAAAGAGUUCGCCAAAAAUUUAUAGGGUAUGUUAUAAAUUUUUUAGGGUUUUGAUCUAGCCAAAUUGAUGAUGAACAAGUUGUGAAAGAAGUAUACGAGAACUUGUGGUACGUUUCUUUAUGAUCUCCUGAGCUCAAAUGGUUAUUUCGUCA